AGAGUUUGAUCCUGGCUCAGGAUGAACGCUGGCGGCGUGCCUAAUACAUGCAAGUCGAGCGAACGGACGAGAAGCUUGCUUCUCUGAUGUUAGCGGCGGACGGGUGAGUAACACGUGGAUAACCUACCUAUAAGACUGGGAUAACUUCGGGAAACCGGAGCUAAUACCGGAUAAUAUUUUGAACCGCAUGGUUCAAAAGUGAAAGACGGUCUUGCUGUCACUUAUAGAUGGAUCCGCGCUGCAUUAGCUAGUUGGUAAGGUAACGGCUUACCAAGGCAACGAUGCAUAGCCGACCUGAGAGGGUGAUCGGCCACACUGGAACUGAGACACGGUCCAGACUCCUACGGGAGGCAGCAGUAGGGAAUCUUCCGCAAUGGGCGAAAGCCUGACGGAGCAACGCCGCGUGAGUGAUGAAGGUCUUCGGAUCGUAAAACUCUGUUAUUAGGGAAGAACAUAUGUGUAAGUAACUGUGCACAUCUUGACGGUACCUAAUCAGAAAGCCACGGCUAACUACGUGCCAGCAGCCGCGGUAAUACGUAGGUGGCAAGCGUUAUCCGGAAUUAUUGGGCGUAAAGCGCGCGUAGGCGGUUUUUUAAGUCUGAUGUGAAAGCCCACGGCUCAACCGUGGAGGGUCAUUGGAAACUGGAAAACUUGAGUGCAGAAGAGGAAAGUGGAAUUCCAUGUGUAGCGGUGAAAUGCGCAGAGAUAUGGAGGAACACCAGUGGCGAAGGCGACUUUCUGGUCUGUAACUGACGCUGAUGUGCGAAAGCGUGGGGAUCAAACAGGAUUAGAUACCCUGGUAGUCCACGCCGUAAACGAUGAGUGCUAAGUGUUAGGGGGUUUCCGCCCCUUAGUGCUGCAGCUAACGCAUUAAGCACUCCGCCUGGGGAGUACGACCGCAAGGUUGAAACUCAAAGGAAUUGACGGGGACCCGCACAAGCGGUGGAGCAUGUGGUUUAAUUCGAAGCAACGCGAAGAACCUUACCAAAUCUUGACAUCCUUUGACAACUCUAGAGAUAGAGCUUUCCCCUUCGGGGGACAAAGUGACAGGUGGUGCAUGGUUGUCGUCAGCUCGUGUCGUGAGAUGUUGGGUUAAGUCCCGCAACGAGCGCAACCCUUAAGCUUAGUUGCCAUCAUUAAGUUGGGCUGGGCACUCUAAGUUGACUGCCGGUG
rnacentral:rRNA from 1 species